AGAUUUUGGGUGAGCAGCAAGUAAUUCCGAAUCAGGUAAUUUACCUUACUAUUUUUCAAUCACCCCUUUACAUUGUUGAGCAAGAAAUACUGCAAUACCUUUCAAGUGAAACUACCAGAGAUAUGCUUCACUCAUCCUACAAACAACAAUAGCAUAAUGAGGGAACCAACAAAAAUUUGUGGUUGUACCGACUCUUUUUUACCUGCCAACGAAUAAUCCACUGCUGGUGCUAAUGUCUCUAAAUAUUUUUAUCUAAUUUUUGAUUAAUUAAACUGAUUAUAGAAUUCAUUUUGAAAAAACGAAUUGUGUCAGUAAAGCACACAGAUGUGUGGAGUUUUUAAGGUAACUUUGCAAACCAAUCUGGUGGUUGGUUUGUUCUUUAAGUACAUGUCAGAACUAUCUCGACAACCAAUCACUGAACCGAGUCAAGUCAUCGAAAUAAAGAGGUAGUCAUAUGUAGAAGAUACUAAAGCUGAAUAGCUACACUUGUUGCAACAGGUAUAUGAUAAGCAGUCGUCAUCAUAGUAUGGAUCUUUUCUGUUCAGGAAGAAUAUUUAAAAAAAUAAUGCUUUUCUUAUAAUAUUCAAUGCUUUAUCAGGUUCAUACAACAUCAGAUGCGUCAUUAUCAAAUCUCCAUCAAGAAUAGUCAGAUCACUUAUUUUGUUUGGUCAUGGAAGAACAUAUACUUGAUGGAGUGUUAUUGGAAGAAAUUUGUAUAUCAUCUGAAUGAAGAUUGUAUUACUAGAAGGGUUUCAUCUCUAUAAAUCCGUAUAUGUUAAAACAGAGGUUGAUGGAUCUUGCCAAAAGAAAUGGAGAAGAGAAUUAGCUUUUCAAUGAAGUUGUUGCCACUGAAAGCUUAAAGAUCUAUUUAUCCAAAAAUCUGGUAGAAACUCUGUUAGGUUCGUGUUUAUCAAAUUUGCAGUUUCUGAUUUUGCCACAUAUUGCUUAGACCAAUGAUAGCAAUUGAGGUGGGGAUAAUGAUUUCCCCACAUUUUCGAUACCAUUGUUACACUAUAGGAGGAAGAGCCAACAACUGGGAAACUGCACAAUGACAGAGGUAUCAAAGGAUUGCCUGGAGCUUAGCAUUAUAGUGAUUUAUGUAAGAGUGUCGUUUCCUCAUCAAGCACUUGAACUCUUGAAUGACUUGCCCAUGCCCUGCUCUGCCGCAACUGUAGCGCAGUUACAAAACAGUUCAAACUUUUUAUAUCUAAAUGCUUAAUGACCACCUUAACUUGCAGGUAAAAUAACUGCC
rnacentral:lncRNA from 1 species